GAUGGUGCCAUCAAACAAUACUGGUUACUAUGUCUAGUGGAAAGCCAUUAUGCCAUGAAGAAUGUUAGAGGAUGUUGGAGACAGACCAUUUGUACUGACAGUGUGGAUGUGAAGCUCAAUGAAAAC
rnacentral:lncRNA from 1 species